rnacentral:lncRNA from 10 species
CAGGCUGGUCUGGAGCUCCUGACCUCAGGUGGUCCACCCACCUCGGCCUCCCAAAGUGCUGGGAUCACAGGCGUGAGCCACCGCGCCCGGCCUGCUUUUCAAAGUGUUGUUUGCACCAAGCCCUGGCGUCCUCUGGAAGCUGAUUAGAAAUGCUGACUCCCAGGCCAGGAGCUGCUCCCGGCUACUCGGGAGGCUGAGGCAGUAGAACCACUUGAACCUGGGAGGUGGAAGUUGCAGUGAGCCGAGAUUGCACCAUUGCUCUCCAGCCUGGGUGACAGAGUGAGACUCUGUUUAAAAAAAAAAAAAAAAAUCUGACUCCCAGGCCCCAGCCAGCCCUCCUGAAUCAGAGUCUGCGUUUUAAACAAGAUGUACAUGGGAGUCUGAGAAACCUUGCUGUUGGGAUCUGUGGAAGCCUACAGCAGCCUUCCAACAAAGAGAACAUGAGUUUCCAGUUGACAAAGUCUGUGCUCAGCUCCUUCACUGAACAUUGCUCUGAGCCAACGCAUGUCAGCGAGAGGACGCGGUGACACCGGCCUGUGGUUGCACCCAGAAACAAACAAGCCUACUGACUGUUGCCAGAAACUGAAACAUCAGAACAUUUCUUGGGGGUUCAGGGUCCCUGGCAAACAGUGAGAGACUUCAUCUUUGGCCUCCUUGACCUCUGCUAAUUCGUUCAUUUAACAAACAUUUGUUGAGAUCCUGCUGUGCUUCAGACAAUAUACAAGCAAUGUGGAUACAGACCAGGAAGAGCUCAUAAUAAACGGUGAACCGCAAAUAGUACAUAGGGUGAAGCAUGGAUGAGGUUAUGACUCAGCUUUGACCAUGCAGCCAAAGACAACAUCCUAGGAACUGUGAGCCAAGGGGAUGGGAGGAAGCCAUGGCCCCGACUGACCCGAUGGAGCUGAGUAGCCCGACCAGUCUGGACCACCCACCCCUGGCCUUUUGCUUGAGAAAUAAAUUAAUUUCAGAUUCUUUAA